CACAGAGAAGGGUGGAAAGCCUGACGAAACUAUCGCCUAUGUUCAAUCUCUUCAACCACAAGUAGAGUUCUUGCAUGUCCUAUUAAAGAACCCAGCUUAUGUGAAUCCCCGAGUUGAGUACAACAUCUUUAACAAACAGGAAAUUACUCAAAUCAGAAACCAAAAUGCUAAUUUUGAGCCUACUCUUAAUCAAGACAAUGAAAUUGUG